UGGGCCAUAGGUGAACAAGCUGUGCUAUA
rnacentral:piRNA from 1 species